CUGUUUUCAAAUAUGUGUAGACAACUACUCUUCCUUUGCUGUGAAGCUGAUUUUAAGAUCCUUGAAUAGGGGCUCCAGUUCCUUUGAACAUUAAUACAGUACUUAGAACAGUGGUGCCUCUAGCCAGAUUGGGACGUUUGGGAGCCACUGCAGUCUUGCUGUUAUUUGGAUAGGAAUGGAUCAAAUCCAACAAAUAUCCAACAAGCAUUUCCAGAGAAUUCAGUUUUGACUGCCUUAUGAGUGUAUUUGAAUACAACUAUUUAAGUGUAGAAUGUUGCACCAAGCUCUAAAGACUGUAUGGUUUUAUUAACCAAGUAUUGUAGAAAAGCUGUUGAAUGAGUCUCCAACCAGUGUCUGCAGUUAAAAUUUCUCAGCAUUUAGCCUUUCUUUUCUUAUUUUGUUCUUCUUCUACUGCUGGAAAAGUGUCUUACCUGUAUACUUUACAUAAUGUAAUGGGAAUGAAUUUAUUAAAGUGAGCCAGUGUAUUGUCAGACUAGAAGAAACCUAUGCAGAAGGGUUAGACAAGUUGCCUGCUUUGUGGACAAGCUGAAGUAUAGGCCACGUGAAUCCUUCCUGCAGUGUCUGUAAGGCCACCAUGAAGAGUCAAAAUGUGUGUGGAUGGUGCCUGGUCCUAGAUGGAUAUGAAUGCAAAAUAACUUUACUGUGCUUAUAGUGACUGGACUUGGACAGGAAUUCUUCACUGCUAUCUCUACAUCUCCUCCUGGGCAGUGUUUAGAGGCUGCAGGCAGGACAGAUGGGAUGCUCUUCAUUCUGGCUAAGUUAGUAAUUUCAGUGGAAAGAAAAACUAAAUAGAUUUAAAGAGGGUGGAAGAGGUCACCCAAACUCCCUGACCCUGUUUGGGAGGAGGUCAGGGAAAUUUUUUCUGCUCUCAGUUGCCUGCUAGCCAACCUUCUGUCCUGUAUACAUGAACCCAGUUCCCUUAUCAUGAGAUCCGUUUAAGCCAAGUAGCCCUUGGCUCUGGAGUAAGAAUAAUCAGAACAACAAUACUAUUGAUAAAGGGAUAAUGUCAGGAAAUGCAGGACUGAGCUCUUAAUUGUCUUAAAACUGAGUUAAUUUCUAUUUUCAGUACCAACAUUUUAAAAUAAGAGAAAUAUCUGCCCUUAAGACCAGUCUGUGAUGCCACUAUGCAAUUGAUGGUGGAGGUCAGUUAGUGCAGGUAUAUAACCUCAUUACAUUUGUUCUGCUAGUGUCAACUAUAUUUUUUAAUUUUUUUUUUUAAGGCAAGCAUUGGUUCUCUAGAAAGGAAGGUGGAAUCUGGAGAAUAAAUAGUAGGUUGAUACAGCAGAAUUGUUUUCUAGCUUCUAAAAUGUGUUGGCUGAUCUGGGAAGUGGUGUUUAAUGGCAGGUUAUAAAAACUGCAUUAUCUUUUGUUUGGAAAAUCUACCAGCCUAGAAGCUUUUCGUCCAUGGAUGUAAACUUCUGUGCAUUGGUUCUCUGCAAACUUCCUAACAAGAACAUUUUUUUAAUGAUGUUUCUGGAAAAGCCAUUUACAGGGGUGAAAAUUUCACUUAAGAGGGCAGCUGCAUGGGGGAAGGUAUGAAGAUUUUGGCAUGCAGACCGUGAAGAUCUAAGCUUUCCCCUCUUUCUCCUUCUAGGAUGUCAUUUAAAGAAGAAAGUACUGUCUUCUCUUGCCUCGCUCAGUCUCUUAGAUCACAAUGAGUGCAACAGCUACCAUGGCACUAGUACCAUGACAUCAAAAUUGAUCACUGAAACUUCUCCCAGCUAUGUUAAUCGCUGUCUUGGGCCUGUGUCCUUGAAACAGCCUUGUCAGAAUCUGAGGAACAGUAACAUGCCCCAGCUUAAAAUGAAGAAAUCUGUGCCUAUUACUGCCUUUAUUUUAGAAACAGCAUAAAUGUACUCUCUGUACCUGGGACAGGGUGGGGAGUGACUGCUGGGGCAGCAGCUCUGCUGGAAAGGACCAUGGAAACCUGUGGGACAACAGGCUGCGGUGUCCCGGCAGCAGGAGAGGUUACCCCUUGGUGAUUUUCUGGAACAGGUUGCCCAGAGAGGCUAGGAGAACACCAUCCCUGGAAUGUUUCAUUCCUGUCUGGACAAAGCUGGGAAUGGCCUGGUCAGACCCAAGAGCUGCCCUUGCAUGGAGCAGGAGGUUGGAGGAGGAGCCUUCUGAGGUCCCUGCCAACUUGGUUAUUCUGUGCAUCUAUGACUGCUUGACAGUGAGUGUUGGUAGAUAUCCAUACAGUGUUGCAGUUGUGAGCAUCGACGUUCCUGGCUGGAUUGCAGUAUAAUUUAAAAGACAAAUUAAACUGUUACCUACCUUCUAUUCCUUAGACAAUACAUUGCUGUGAUUCAGGCUUUUCUCACCAACACCGAGGACUUGAAAUCUGUAAAAAGAUUAAUACACAAGGGUUCCCAAAAUUUAUUUUAGCUCUGAUACAUUCAGCAAAACGUGCAGGUCAAGGGCUUUAACAUAGGGUAUUUAUAAUGCCUCAUAGCACUGAAUCAUGCGAAUUCCCUUACAUGGGAUGGGACUCUUGGAAGGAGAAUUUGUGAACUGAAGAUGAAGAAAAGUGUGGUCUUCUAUUUCUGGAACUUUGCAUUUCCAGAGUGGCAGAAAAAAGCUCCAAAUGACCUCUCCACCAAAACCAGAAAAGCUUUCAUCAAAAUGUCUACUUUAUUAAUCUAGAAAAUUCUGAAAUAGAUUUUUCUUAAGUCUGCUGUCAGAGAAGGGAAGUUUCAGUGCCUAAGGAAAAACACCGAAGUCUUUUCCUCCCAGUUCUUUUUUUUGUAAUUCUUUGAUUUAAAUAUUAACUGCAUGCCUUUGAUGACAAUUUUUCUUGUAUUUUCCAAACUGGUUUUUUUUCAAGUUUAAAAAGGAGCCAUGGUGUGUUAGCGAAGGUCUGCUGUUUGUCGGUGAGCAUUUUCUGACUGGGUUUGGGAAAAGGGACGGAGGAAUGAGAAGAGGCAGAAGUGACUGCCUUGUCUCUGUCAGACUGGCGUGGGCAGGGAUGCCCAGUGCUCCAGUGCGUUCAGUACUGAAUCCCUUGGCUUUGUUUCUGUGCGAUUGUUGUGAUUCAUUUCAGUGGGCUAAUUCACAUACAUUGUUGCAACAAAAGCAAUUCUGGAAUUUUUUUCAGUCCAGAAGCAUAAAUGUAACUAUAUAAUCUAAACAGGAAAAAAGAAAACGUUGACAACUAUGUAAGUAGGGGGUUUUUUUUCCUGUUUGUCCUUUUCCUGAUUCUGAUCAGUUGUUUUUUAAAGUUGUAGUUUGGAAAAAGAAAGGUCCUGAUUUGGGAGCAUGCAUGUACGAUGUCUUGGCUUCUGCUGGUGUUUGGAUUAAUUAAAGAUAGUGAAGAAAAUAAACUGUUUUCCAGAAAAGAUUAUACUGGCAAGGAAUAGGAGGUGUCAUAAUCAGCGAGUCAUAAAGGUGAGUCUUGCCUGAGUUCAAAGAAAUUAUAUAAAAGCUUAGCCUAACAUCCUACCCCUCCCAAAACCAAUUUUUACUUCAACAAGGGGGACUUCAGUUUUGGAAUAACAUGGAAAAAAACCAGUAAAUCAACAAAGUUUAGGCGACUCAAAUGAUCCUUUAUUAGAAACAGCUUGCCUCUUCUAAAGAGAAACAAAAGUACCCUCUAAACAUUUUAAUUAUGAACAUGCAAAUCUUCAGUCUUGCUGGAGCCUUGUUUUCUCCUUCUCUCAGAUCAGUGCCACUCUGCCCACGUUGAUUCUCUGCUGAGGGUGCUGGGCUGAUGGGCACUUUCUGUCAGGGCAGGUACUACUUCCCACUGGUGGUGUGGACUGUAGGCAGUGCUACACUGUUCUCUCGGGAUGGCCCAGGCACAUGGCCACUGCUGAAAGUGGAGGUGGUGCCUGUUGUGUGGUGGCUUCAGCAUAGGCAGCUGUUGCAUUGCAGUUCCUGGUAUCCAGAGCCUCUUAGAUUGGCACAGCACAGCUGAGGGUGAGAUAUGUCCUGUGAGGAGAUCAGCUUAAAGGGAGCAGAGGGUGUUAAAAAUAAAGCUGGUGAAGCUGCAAAGUAAUUUCUUCUCCCUUGCUUAUCUUUCAAUGAUUAUUUUCUCCUGGGAAGCAGUCCUCAGUUAGAUUUGCAGGUGUUCAUUUGCUAUGGGUGCUCUUCAAAGAUGAACAUCAAACUGGAUUUAUUGCAGCCUCACAUAUGAAAGAUGCACUGCAGUUGAUGGGAGAACCUUCUUGGAAUGUCCUAAACAGAAAAGGAUCCUUAUUUUUAUUUAAAAAGGCAGCUCAGGAAUAAAUGCUUUGUUACUUCAUUCCUUUCCGUCAUUUUGCUUCUUAUUAGUAGCUUCACGGGAGAAAGUAAGCAAAAGUGUUAGAGAUAGCUGUGGGAUAACUUAAUGAAA